rnacentral:Y_RNA from 10 species
AGUUGGUCAGAGCACCUUGGGUUAUUGUUAACCCAAUUUACGUAGUCUCCCCCAACAACCAUACUUGACUCGUUUUGU